CCUACGGGGGGCAGCAGUAGGGAAUCUUCCGCAAUGGGCGAAAGCCUGACGGAGCAACGCCGCGUGAGUGAAGAAGGAUUUCGGUUCGUAAAGCUCUGUUGUUAGGGAAGAAUGGAUAUGUAGUAACUAUACAUAUAAGAGACGGUACCUAACCAGAAAGCCACGGCUAACUACGUGCCAGCAGCCGCGGUAAUACGUAGGUGGCAAGCGUUGUCCGGAAUUAUUGGGCGUAAAGCGCGCGCAGGUGGUUUAAUAAGUCUGAUGUGAAAGCCCACGGCUCAACCGUGGAGGGUCAUUGGAAACUGUUAAACUUGAGUGCAGGAGAGAAAAGUGGAAUUCCUAGUGUAGCGGUGAAAUGCGUAGAGAUUAGGAGGAACACCAGUGGCGAAGGCGGCUUUUUGGCCUGUAACUGACACUGAGGCGCGAAAGCGUGGGGAGCAAACAGGAUUAGAUACCCGGGUAGUC
rnacentral:rRNA from 1 species